rnacentral:piRNA from 1 species
UCAGCCUGAAAUGAUACCCAAAUAAGAG